UCCGCUUUAGCUCAGUUGGUAGAGCAAUUGACUGUUAAUCAAUGGGUCGCUGGUUCGAGCCCAGCAAGCGGAGCCA
rnacentral:tRNA from 2 species